CCUACGGGAGGCAGCAGUGAGGAAUAUUGGUCAAUGGACGCAAGUCUGAACCAGCCAUGCCGCGUGAAGGAAGAAGGCUCUAUGAGUUGUAAACUGCUUUUGUAAGAGGGUAAACGCAGAUACGCGUAUCUGGCUGAAAGUAUCGUACGAAUAAGGAUCGGCUAACUCCGUGCCAGCAGCCGCGGUAAUACGGAGGAUUCAAGCGUUAUCCGGAUUGAUUGGGUUUAAAGGGUGCGUAGGCGGUCGGUUAAGUUAGAGGUGAAAUCCCGCGGCUCAACUUCGGAAUUGCCUCUGAUACUGUUCGGCUAGAUCGUAGUUGCGGUAGGCGGAAUGUGUGGUGUAGCGGUGAAAUGCUUAGAGACCAUACAGAACCCCGAUUGCGAAGGCAGCUUACCACGCUACUUCUGACGUUGAGGCACGAAAGCGUGGGUAGCAAACAGGAUUAGAUACCCGGGUAGUC
rnacentral:rRNA from 1 species